rnacentral:rRNA from 1 species
AGGGAAUCUUCCGCAAUGGACGAAAGUCUGACGGAGCAACGCCGCGUGAGUGAUGAAGGUUUUCGGAUCGUAAAGCUCUGUUGCCAGGGAAGAACGUCCGUUAGAGUAACUGCUAACGGAGUGACGGUACCUGAGAAGAAAGCCCCGGCUAACUACGUGCCAGCAGCCGCGGUAAUACGUAGGGGGCGAGCGUUGUCCGGAAUUAUUGGGCGUAAAGCGCGCGCAGGCGGCUGUUUAAGUCUGGUGUAUAAUCCUGGGGCGCAACUCCGGGUCGCACUGGAAACUGGACGGCUUGAGUGCAGAAGAGGAGAGUGGAAUUCCACGUGUAGCGGUGAAAUGCGUAGAGAUGUGGAGGAACACCAGUGGCGAAGGCGGCUCUCUGGUCUGUAACUGACGCUGAGGCGCGAAAGCGUGGGGAGCAAAC